CCUACUGGUACUGGUACUGGAAGAAGUUUUCCCCUCCGCCGCCGCCACCAAUCCGCCUCCGCCUCCGCCUCCGACUCUAGCCCUCGUCGGACACGGAGAGGGGAGGAGCUUCCAUACAUAUACUCCGGCGAGGCAGGGGAGAGUUCUCUUCAGGGAGAGGAGAGGGAGGGAUGGCGUGGACGCGCUACCACGCCUCCUCGACGCAUCCUCCUUCAAUCCCCGCUCGCCGUCGUCCCAAGUCCGGCGCCGACGAUGCCCCCUUUCCUCCAUGGGUCCUGCUCGACGACCGCGCAUACCUCGCCGGCGAAUCCAACCACACCACGGCCGUCUCCCGCACAAGGCACGGCGACCAGAUCCAAGCCACCUUCUUCCUCGCCGACCCGCCGCUCGUCUCCUACUUCGCCGUCUCGUGCGCCGCCGAGCUUGGCUGCGAGCCCAGGGUCCUCUACACAGAGGCCAACCUCGUCCUCCUCGUCUCGGUGCCCGGCGACCCCCGCAACGCCAUCGACCCCCGGAAGAACGACUUCUACGUCUACGAGGUGGACGACGACGCCGGCGCCGGCGGCGGCCCUCCCAAGGCCACACUGACGCUGCUUCCGCACCCCCCGCCCGACUUGUUCCCCUUCCCUCGGGACAGAUGCUACUACUUCCAUGACUGCCAGGUAGGACUCCUGCGCCACCGCAGGAACUCCGACGGCGGCGGCGGCGGCGGCUUUUAUCUUCGCCAGCACCGUCCCAGAGCCUAUGACGCCUACAUCGUCGCCGCGCUCUGUACACGGCUAACCUUCCCGGAGACGUUAGGCCUUUACACCUACGUCUCCGACACCGAGGUGUGGAGCAGCAAACCAGCCUCAUUCCCAGACGGCGGCAAACUGCCCCGAGCCGCCCUUCGAUGUGACAAGGUUAUCACCAUCGGAGGAGAAGCCGGCACCAUGGCCUGGGUCGAUCUCAUGCGGGGUAUCAUCCUAUGUGAUGUGCUCCCACUCGACGACGACGCCAAGACGCUUCGCUACAUCCCUCUGCCGGACCCCAUCCGGCCAGACGACACCAUCGACGAAUCUGGAGGCAUGUACCGGGACGUCGCCGUCGUCGGCAGCCGCAUCAAGUAUGCUGAGGUGAAGAUGCACGUCAGGCCGGGCUCGGCCGGCCCGAAAGGCUCCUUCACCAUCGAUGGCUGGACCGCCGUCGUAUGGAGCAGGCCGGCCAAUUCCUUCAAGGAGUCGACCACCUGGGGCAAGGACCAUGAGGUCCAUGCUCACCAGGUCUCUUUCGUUGACGGCAAAAACAAGACGGCGCCAGGCUUUGAGUUGCUCCCGGCUGUGGUGGAUCACCAGGGCAACCCGCAGCCGACCUUGGUGGGGAUCCACGUUGGCCAUCCCAAGCUCAGCCUGAGCGUCGGUGACAACACCCUUUACUUGAUGGCCAAGGUCAACCGCUGGUACGACAAAGCAUGGGUGAUCGCUGUCGACAUGAAGAACAAGAGGCUGCGGGGAGUGGCCGAGUUUGGUGGAGCACCAAGGUGCUCGGCGUUUCUCCAUGCCUAUAGGCAAAGCAGGAUCUCGGAGCAUCUCAAUGUCUCCCAAGGUACAAAGAGUCACCUGAAACGACCAGGGAUGCCACUGCCACAUGGAAGCUCUCACAAGAAGCCAGAGAUCCCUCCACAUCAUGUGAUGCAUCACUGUCCCAGUGGACAAAACCCCAGGGCGACAUGGCCCACAUUUCCCGCACAGACUAUUGAUGAUGAGGAUUAUGAUGAUGAUGAACGGACAAGGAUGGCAGACGACAUGGACUUGGAAUAACUUAACUUAUGGUACAAAGAGUCACCUGAAACGACCAGGGAUGCUACUGCUACAUGGAAUCUCUCACAAGAAGCCCGAGAUCUCUCCGCAUCACUGUCCCAGUGUGGAGAAAACCCAAGGGUGAAGCAACCCAUGUUUUUCGGACAAAGUAUUGAUGAUGAUGAUGAUUGGGCAAGGUCAGGAGACGGCAUGGGAGUUGGGAUAUAACUUAAUUUAUGGUACCUAGCUAGCUCUUGUGUUGCAGGACAGUGCCCGGUGCCUAGAGUUAUUUAUCUGUCUCUUUUUGUUAUGUAGCUCUUUAGUUAGCACUCCCUCUGUUCACUUUUAUAAGACGUUGUAGACAUUUCAGACAGUUCUCAAAACAGUUCAAACUCAGCUGUCUGAAACGUCUUAUAAAAAAGAACGGAGGGAGUAGUUACUAGUCAGGAUGAAUAACAACAUUUUAAAUUUUGCUCUGAUGCCUUUAAUUUGGUCUUCUGUUUAGUUGUUGUGUUUGUGGCUGGGCACUCUGUUCUCUAGGUGUUAUUUUUAGAUGAUUAAUUUCCAAUUUUCUUGUCUGUCGAAUGUUCUGUCUUGUCCUGGAUGUUUUGAGAUGGAAUAGAACCCUGCCUGUAAAACCUCAACCUUGUUG
rnacentral:rRNA from 1 species